AGAAGACUUAGGACAGGAUCAAUCUUAAAUAACCUUAAACUAUGAGAAUAAAUGUUCACAUCAAAGACAAAGAUCAGUCCCAAAGUAUAAAAUAUGCUCUGUAAACUUACCACAAAGUGCAGAAAUGUGUGCAUGAGCUGUUUAUUUGAUGAUUUCAACGUAUAUAGAAGCCCUCUCUCCAAUAAUAUUCGCUUAUCGCACAGUAUAACACCAACUGAUGUAAUAGCUCAAAUGCAAUGAUAAGUUAAUCUUGAAUUACGUCUCGGAAACCGUGUUGGAAAUUUCAAUGCUGAUCCAUUACAUAUAGAUUACCGUUUUAUAUCUUUGUAUAAAACAUUUUGAUAGCAUG